rnacentral:rRNA from 1 species
GACGAACGCUGGCGGCGUGCUUAACACAUGCAAGUCGAACGGAAAGGCCCUGCUUUUGUGGGGUGCUCGAGUGGCGAACGGGUGAGUAACACGUGAGUAACCUGCCCUUGACUUUGGGAUAACUUCAGGAAACUGGGGCUAAUACCGGAUAGGAGCUCCUGCUGCAUGGUGGGGGUUGGAAAGUUUCGGCGGUUGGGGAUGGACUCGCGGCUUAUCAGCUUGUUGGUGGGGUAGUGGCUUACCAAGGCUUGGACGGGUAGCGGGCCUGAGAGGGUGACCGGCCACAUUGGGACUGAGAUACGGCCGAGACUCCUACGGGAGGCAGCAGUGGGGAAUAUUGCACAAUGGGCGGAAGCCUGAUGCAGCAACGCCGCGUGCGGGAUGACGGCCUUCGGGUUGUAAACCGCUUUCGCCUGUGACGAAGCGUGAGUGACGGUAAUGGGUAAAGAAGCACCGGCUAACUACGUG